CUUGCUGACGACCGGCGCACGGGUGCGUAACGCGUAUACAAUCUACCUUACACUGGGGGAUAGCCUUUGGAAACGAAGAUUAACACCCCAUAGUAUUUUAGUUUCGCAUGAGAUUAGAAUUAAAGGUUACGGUGUAAGAUGAGUAUGCGUCCUAUUAGCUAGAUGGUGUGGUAACGGCACACCAUGGCAACGAUAGGUAGGGGCCCUGAGAGGGGGAUCCCCCACACUGGUACUGAGACACGGACCAGACUCCUACGGGAGGCAGCAGUGAGGAAUAUUGGACAAUGGGCGAAAGCCUGAUCCAGCCAUGCCGCGUGCAGGAAGACUGCCCUAUGGGUUGUAAACUGCUUUUGUACGGGAAGAAAUCCUCCUACGUGUAGGAGCUUGACGGUACCGUAAGAAUAAGCAUCGGCUAACUCCGUGCCAGCAGCCGCGGUAAUACGGAGGAUGCAAGCGUUAUCCGGAAUCAUUGGGUUUAAAGGGUCCGUAGGUGGAUUGGUCAGUCAGAGGUGAAAUCCUGCAGCUUAACUGUAGAACUGCCUUUGAUACUGCUAAUCUUGAGUCAUUAUGAAGUAGUUAGAAUAUGUAGUGUAGCGGUG
rnacentral:rRNA from 1 species